UCUAUUUUUUCAGAGAAACUCUUUUUUUUUUAAUUUCAUAUGAUGUGGAACGUAAAGAUACAUACAACCCUAAAUUUUCACUUUUCCAGCACUAACCGUUAUUUUUUAAUGGCCAUUUAAAUAUUUUACAUCUAUAUAAACAAAAGAAAGUCGUGACAGUUACCAACACAUAACUCGAGAACGACUGAAUAGAUUUUUAUGAAAUUUUCCACGUAUAUUUGACCGGACCGAGAAUAGGUUGUUAUGUAUUUUUCAUAUCCGUACGUCGUAACAGGGGCUGCCCCCCUAAAAUAUUUUUUUAUUUUUUUGGUCAAACUGUUUUUUCUUAAUUUUAUGUGAUGUGGAAGGCAAAGGUAAAUACAACCCUAAAUUUUCACUUUUCUAUCUUCGACCGUUAUUUUUUAAUAGCCAUCUAAAAUUUUGCAUCUUAUAUAUAAAAAUCUAUUGCUGUGCGUUAGUCUCGCUAAAACUCGAGAAUGUGUGGACCGAUUUGGCUAAUUUUGAUGUUGAAUUAUUUGUGGAAGUUCAGGGAAGGUUUAUACGGUUUUAUAUUGUCAUUUUAGUAGCCACCAAAAUUUUUACAGCUAUAUGUAUAAAAUGCUCUUUUUACAGUGUUUGUUGCCAUACUCCUCCGAAACGACUUGACCGAUUUUUAUGAAAGUUUGCAAGUGUACUCGACCGGACCGGUAGUAGGUUGUUAUCUAUAUUUCAUACCCGUGCGUCUUAAGGGGGCUUGCCACCCUUAUAUUUAUUUCUAUUUUUUCAGAGAAACCCUUUUUUUUAAUGUCAUAUGAUGUGGAACGUAAAGAUACAUACAACCCUAAAUUUUCACUUUUCCAGCACUAACCGUUAUUUUUUAAUGGCCAUUUAAAUAUUUUACAUCUAUAUAAACAAAAGAAAGUCGUGACAGUUACCAACACAUAACUCGAGAACGACUGAAUAGAUUUUUAUGAAAUUUUCCACGUGUAUUUGACCGGACCGAGAAUAGGUUGUUAUGUAUUUUUCAUAUCCGUACGUCGUAACGGGGGCUGCCCCCCUAAAAUAUUUUUUUAUUUUUUUGGUCAAACUGUUUUUUCUUAAUUUUAUGUGAUGUGGAAGGCAAAGGUAAAUACAACCCUAAAUUUUCACUUUUCUAUCUUCGACCGUUAUUUUUUAAUAGCCAUCUAAAAUUUUGCAUCUUAUAUAUAAAAAUCUAUUGCUGUGCGUUAGUCUCGCUAAAACUCGAGAAUGUGUGGACCGAUUUGGCUAAUUUUGAUGUUGAAUUAUUUGUGGAAGUUCAGGGAAGGUUUAUACGGUUUUAUAUUGUCAUUUUAGUAGCCACCAAAAUUUUACAGCUAUAUGUAUAAAAUGCUCUUUUUACAGUGUUUGUUGCCAUACUCCUCCGAAACGACUUGACCGAUUUUUAUGAAAGUUUGCAAGUGUAUUCGACCGGACCGGUAGUAGGUUGUUAUCUAUAUUUCAUACCCGUGCGUCUUAAGGGGGCUUGCCACCCUUAUAUUUAUUUCUAUUUUUUCAGAGAAACUCUUAUUUUUUAAUUUCAUAUGAUGUGGAACGUAAAGAUACAUACAACCCUAAAUUUUCACUUUUCCAGCACUAACCGUUAUUUUUUAAUGGCCAUUUAAAUAUUUUACAUCUAUAUAAACAAAAGAAAGUCGUGACAGUUACCAACACAUAACUCGAGAACGACUGAAUAGAUUUUUAUGAAAUUUUCCACGUAUAUUUGACCGGACCGAGAAUAGGUUGUUAUGUAUUUUUCAUAUCCGUACGUCGUAACGGUG